rnacentral:tRNA from 1 species
UAGCUCAGUUGGUAGAGUGUUUGCUUAGCAUGCACAAGGCCCUGGGUUCAAUCCCCAG